rnacentral:rRNA from 1 species
GAUGAACGCUGGCGGCGUGCCUAAUACAUGCAAGUCGAGCGAACAGACGAGGAGCUUGCUCCUCUGACGUUAGCGGCGGACGGGUGAGUAACACGUGGAUAACCUACCUAUAAGACUGGGAUAACUUCGGGAAACCGGAGCUAAUACCGGAUAAUAUAUUGAACCGCAUGGUUCAAUAGUGAAAGACGGUUUUGCUGUCACUUAUAGAUGGAUCCGCGCCGCAUUAGCUAGUUGGUAAAGUAACGGCUUACCAAGGCAACGAUGCGUAGCCGACCUGAGAGGGUGAUCGGCCACACUGGAACUGAGACACGGUCCAGACUCCUACGGGAGGCAGCAGUAGGGAAUCUUCCGCAAUGGGCGAAAGCCUGACGGAGCAACGCCGCGUGAAUGAUGAAGGUCUUCGGAUCGUAAAACUCUGUUAUUAGGAAAGAACAAUUGUGUAAGUAACUAUGCACGUCUUGACGGUACCUAAUCAGAAAGCCACGGCUAACUACGUG